GAUGAACGCUGGCGGCGUGCCUAAUACAUGCAAGUCGAGCGAACGGACGAUAAUCUUGUUUCUCUGAUGUUAGCGGCGGACGGGUGAGUAACACGUGUAUAACCUACCUAUAAUUCUGGGAUAAUCUCGGGAAACCGUAUCUUAUACCGGAUGAUAUUUUGAACCGUAUGGUUCAAAGGUGAAAGACGGUGUUUCUGUCACGUAUAGAUGGAUCCGCGCUUCAUUAGCUAGUUGGGAAGGUAACGGCCUACCAAGGCUACGAUGCAUAGGCGACGUGAGAGGGUGAUCGGCCACACUGGAAGUGAAACACGGACAAGACUCCUAAGGGAGGCACCAGUAGGGAACCUUCCGCAAUGGUCGAAAGCAUGACGGAGCAACGCCGCGUCAGUGAUGACGGUCUUCGGAUCGUAAAACUCUGUUAUUAGGGAAGAACAUAUGUGUAAGUAAAUGUGCACAUAUUGACGGUACCUAAUCAAAAAGCCACGGCUAACUACGUG
rnacentral:rRNA from 1 species